rnacentral:rRNA from 1 species
ACCGGGAAUCAAGUUAGCUCUCACCCUUUGUGACAUACCUAUAACUGUUGCUUCGGCGGGUAGGGUCUCCGCGACCCUCCCGGCCUCCCGCCUCCGGGCGGGUCGGCGCCCGCCGGAGGAUAACCAAACUCUGAUUUAACGACGUUUCUUCUGAGUGGUACAAGCAAAUAAUCAAAACUUUUAACAACGGAUCUCUUGGUUCUGGCAUCGAUGAAGAACGCAGCGAAAUGCGAUAAGUAAUGUGAAUUGCAGAAUUCAGUGAAUCAUCGAAUCUUUGAACGCACAUUGCGCCCGCCAGCAUUCUGGCGGGCAUGCCUGUUCGAGCGUCAUUUCAACCCUCAAGCUCUGCUUGGUGUUGGGGCCCUACAGCUGAUGUAGGCCCUCAAAGGUAGUGGCGGACCCUCUCGGAGCCUCCUUUGCGUAGUAACUUUACGUCUCGCACUGGGAUCCGGAGGGACUCUUGCCGUAAAACCCCCAAUUUUCCAAAGGUUGACCUCGGAUCAGGUAGGAAUACCCGCUGAACUUAAGCAUAUCAAUAAACGGGAAGAA